GGAUUGACACAUCGGUCGUGCCCUAAGGGGUAUGAACUGGUGUAGUCAAUUUCUCACCUUCUGGAGAACCGCGAUGCCCUUAAUUGGGUGUCACGGGGAACCAGGACCUUUACUUUGAAAAAAUUAGAGUGUUCAAAGCAGGCAAUCGCUUGGAUACAUUAGCAUGGAAUAAUGGAAUAG
rnacentral:rRNA from 1 species